rnacentral:rRNA from 1 species
AACGCGAAGAACCUUACCAGGACUUGACAUACCUUUGAUCGGUCAAGAGAUUGACCUUCCCUUCGGGGCAAAGGAUACAGGUGGUGCAUGGUUGUCGUCAGCUCGUGUCGUGAGAUGUUGGGUUAAGUCCCGCAACGAGCGCAACCCCUGUUGUUAGUUGCCAUCAUUAAGUUGGGCACUCUAGCGAGACUGCCGGUGACAAAUCGGAGGAAGGUGGGGACGACGUCAAAUCAUCAUGCCCCUUAUGUCCUGGGCUACACACGUACUACAAUGGCUAUUACAGCAGGAUGCAAUAGAGUAAUCUGGAGCCAAUCCUCAAAAAUAGUCCCAGUUCAGAUUGUGGGCUGAAACUCGCCCACAUGAAGUCGGAAUUGCUAGUAAUUGCAGGUCAGCAUACUGCAGUGAAUACGUUCCCGGGCCUUGUACACACCGCGUGUCU